rnacentral:rRNA from 1 species
CCUACGGGAGGCUGCAGUUUGGAAUUUUGGACAAUGGACGAAAGUCUGAUCCAGCGACGCCGCGUGCACGAAGAAGGUCUUCGGAUCGUAAAGUGCUUUUGCAGGGGAGGAAUUUUUGACUCGUACCCUGAGAAUAAGAGGUUGCUAACUCUGUGCCAGCAGCAGCGGUAAUACAGAGACCUCAAGCGUUAUCCGGAAUCAUUGGGCGUAAAGCGUACCGAUAGGUGGUUUAUUAAGUCUGGGGUAAAAGCCGGAAGCUCAACUUCCGCGUUUGC